AAAUUGAAGAGUUUGAUCAUGGCUCAGAUUGAACGCUGGCGGCAGGCCUAACACAUGCAAGUCGAGCGGAAACGAGUUAUCAGAACCUUCGGGGGACGAUAACGGCGUCGAGCGGCGGACGGGUGAGUAAUGCCUAGGAAAUUGCCCUGAUGUGGGGGAUAACCAUUGGAAACGAUGGCUAAUACCGCAUGAUGCCUACGGGCCAAAGAGGGGGACCUUCGGGCCUCUCGCGUCAGGAUAUGCCUAGGUGGGAUUAGCUAGUUGGUGAGGUAAGGGCUCACCAAGGCGACGAUCCCUAGCUGGUCUGAGAGGAUGAUCAGCCACACUGGAACUGAGACACGGUCCAGACUCCUACGGGAGGCAGCAGUGGGGAAUAUUGCACAAUGGGCGCAAGCCUGAUGCAGCCAUGCCGCGUGUGUGAAGAAGGCCUUCGGGUUGUAAAGCACUUUCAGUCGUGAGGAAGGUAGUGUAGUUAAUAGCUGCAUUAUUUGACGUUAGCGACAGAAGAAGCACCGGCUAACUCCGUGCCAGCAGCCGCGGUAAUACGGAGGGUGCGAGCGUUAAUCGGAAUUACUGGGCGUAAAGCGCAUGCAGGUGGUUUGUUAAGUCAGAUGUGAAAGCCCGGGGCUCAACCUCGGAAUUGCAUUUGAAACUGGCAGACUAGAGUACUGUAGAGGGGGGUAGAAUUUCAGGUGUAGCGGUGAAAUGCGUAGAGAUCUGAAGGAAUACCGGUGGCGAAGGCGGCCCCCUGGACAGAUACUGACACUCAGAUGCGAAAGCGUGGGGAGCAAACAGGAUUAGAUACCCUGGUAGUCCACGCCGUAAACGAUGUCUACUUGGAGGUUGUGGCCUUGAGCCGUGGCUUUCGGAGCUAACGCGUUAAGUAGACCGCCUGGGGAGUACGGUCGCAAGAUUAAAACUCAAAUGAAUUGACGGGGGCCCGCACAAGCGGUGGAGCAUGUGGUUUAAUUCGAUGCAACGCGAAGAACCUUACCUACUCUUGACAUCCAGAGAACUUUCCAGAGAUGGAUUGGUGCCUUCGGGAACUCUGAGACAGGUGCUGCAUGGCUGUCGUCAGCUCGUGUUGUGAAAUGUUGGGUUAAGUCCCGCAACGAGCGCAACCCUUAUCCUUGUUUGCCAGCGAGUAAUGUCGGGAACUCCAGGGAGACUGCCGGUGAUAAACCGGAGGAAGGUGGGGACGACGUCAAGUCAUCAUGGCCCUUACGAGUAGGGCUACACACGUGCUACAAUGGCGCAUACAGAGGGCAGCCAACUUGCGAAAGUGAGCGAAUCCCAAAAAGUGCGUCGUAGUCCGGAUUGGAGUCUGCAACUCGACUCCAUGAAGUCGGAAUCGCUAGUAAUCGUGGAUCAGAAUGCCACGGUGAAUACGUUCCCGGGCCUUGUACACACCGCCCGUCACACCAUGGGAGUGGGCUGCAAAAGAAGUAGGUAGUUUAACCUUCGGGGGGCGCUUACCACUUUGUGGUUCAUGACUGGGGUGAAGUCGUAACAAGGUAGCGCUAGGGGAACCUGGCGCUGGAUCACCUCCUUAAACGAUGAU
rnacentral:rRNA from 1 species